GGGGGCUGCUCCUAGUACGAGAGGACCGGAGUGGACGCAUCACUGGUGUUCGGGUUGUCAUGCCAAUGGCACUGCCCGGUAGCUAAAUGCGGAAGAGAUAAGUGCUGAAAGCAUCUAAGCACGAAACUUGCCCCGAGAUGAGUUCUCCCUGACUCCUUGAGAGUCCUGAAGGAACGUUGAAGACGACGACGUUGAUAGGCCGGGUGUGUAAGCGCAGCGAUGCGUUGAGCUAACCGGUACUAAUGAACCGUGAGGCUUAACCUUACAACGCCGAAG
rnacentral:rRNA from 1 species